rnacentral:rRNA from 1 species
UGCAGUCGAGCGGGGAAAGGUAGCUUGCUACUGGACCUAGCGGCGGACGGGUGAGUAAUGCUUAGGAAUCUGCCUAUUGGUGGGGGACAACAUCUCGAACGGGAUGCUAAUACCGCAUACGUCCUACGGGAGAAAGCAGGGGAUCUUCGGACCUUGCGCUAAUAUGUGAGCCUAAGUCGGAUUAGCUAGGUGGUGGGGUAAAGGCCUACCAAGGCGACGAUCUGUAGCGGGUCUGAGAGGAUGAUCCGCCACACUGGGACUGAGACACAGCCCAGACUCCUACGGGAGGCAGCGGUGGGGAAUAUUGGACAAUGGGCGCAAGCCUGAUCCAGCCAUGCCGCGUGUGUGAAGAAGGCCUUAUGGGUGUAAAGCACUUUAAGCGAGGAGGAGGCUACUUUAGAUAAUACCUAGAGAUAGUGGACGUUACUCGCAGAAUAAACACCGGCUAACUCUGUGCCAGCAGCCGCGGUAAUACAGAGGGUGCAAGCGUUAAUCGGAUUUACUGGGCGUAAAGCGCGCGUAGGCGGCUAAUUAAGUCAAAUGUGAAAUCCCCGAGCUUAACUUGGGAAUUGCAUUCAAUACUGGUUAGCUAGAGUGUGGGAGAGGAUGGUAGAAUUCCAGGUGUAGCGGUGAAAUGCGUAGAGAUCUGGAGGAAUACCGAUGGCGAAAGCAGCCAUCUGGUCUAACACUGACGCUGAGGUGCGAAAGCAUGGGGAGCAAACAGGAUUAGAUACCCUGGUAGUCCAUGCCGUAAACGAUGUCUACUAGCCGUUGGGGCCUUUGAGGCUUUAGUGGCGCAG